rnacentral:rRNA from 1 species
CCUACGGGUGGCAGCAGUGGGGAAUAUUGGGCAAUGGGCGCAAGCCUGAUCCAGCAACGCCGCGUGUAGGAAGAAGGCUUUCGGGUUGUAAACUUCUUUUGUCAGGGACGAAGCAAGUGACGGUACCUGCCGAAUCAGCCACGGCUAACUACGUGCCAGCAGCCGCGGUAAUACGUAGGUGGCACGCGUUAUCCGGAUUUAUUGGGUGUAAAGGGCGUGUAGGCGGGAGUGCAAGUCAGAUGUGAAAACUAUGGGCUUAACCCAUAGCCUGCAUUUGAAACUGUCUUUCUUGAGUGCUGGAGAGGCGAGUGGAAUUCCAUGUGUAGCGGUGAAAUGCGUAGAGAUACGGAGGAACACCAGUGGCGAAGGCGGAUUGCUGGACAGUAACUGACGCUGAGGCGCGAAAGCGUGGGGAGCAAACAGGAUUAGAUACCCCGGUAGUC